AUUGAACGCUGGCGGCAUGCCUUACACAUGCAAGUCGAACGGUAACAGGUCUUCGGAUGCUGACGAGUGGCGAACGGGUGAGUAAUACAUCGGAACGUGCCCGAUCGUGGGGGAUAACGAAGCGAAAGCUUUGCUAAUACCGCAUACGAUCUACGGAUGAAAGCAGGGGACCGCAAGGCCUUGCGCGAACGGAGCGGCCGAUGGCAGAUUAGGUAGUUGGUGGGAUAAAAGCUUACCAAGCCGACUAUCUGUAGCUGGUCUGAGAGGACGACCAGCCACACUGGGACUGAGACACGGCCCAGACUCCUACGGGAGUCAGCAGUGGGGAAUUUUGGACAAUGGGCGAAAGCCUGAUCCAGCCAUGCCGCGUGCAGGAUGAAGGCCUUCGGGUUGUAAACUGCUUUUGUACGGAACGAAAAGACUCUGGUUAAUACCUGGUGUCCAUGACGGUACCGUAAGAAUAAGCACCGGCUAACUACGUGCCAGCCGCCGCCGUAA
rnacentral:rRNA from 1 species